rnacentral:rRNA from 1 species
UACGAAGGGAGCAAGCGUUGUUCGGAAUCACUGGGCAUAAAGGGCACGCAGGCGGCCUGGUAAGUUGGAUGUGAAAUCCCCUGGCUCACCCAGGGAACUGCAUUCAAUACUGCCAGGCUUGAGGUCGGGAGGGGAGAGUGGAACUCCUAGUGUAGCGGUGAAAUGCGUAGAUAUUAGGAGGAACGCCGGUGGCGAAAGCGACUCUCUGGCCCGAUUCUGACGCUGAGGUGCGAAAGCCAGGGGAGCGAACGGG